CAGAUAUUCCAUACUUGUAUAAAGAAAACAUGGUAUUCAUUUUCUACAACAUUCAUAUCACAGUGCAAACAAAUAUAUUCU